rnacentral:rRNA from 1 species
AACGAACGCUGGCGGCAUGCCUAACACAUGCAAGUCGAACGAGACCUUCGGGUCUGGUGGCGCACGGGUGCGUAACGCGUGGGAACCUGCCCUUAGGUUCGGAAUAACUCCCCGAAAGGGGUGCUAAUACCGGAUAAUGUCUUCGGACCAAAGAUUUAUCGCCUUUUGAUGGGCCCGCGUUGGAUUAGCUAGUUGGUAGGGUAAAAGCCUACCAAGGCGACGAUCCAUAGCUGGUCUGAGAGGAUGAUCAGCCACACGGGGACUGAGACACGGCCCAGACACAAACGGGAUGGAGCAGGCAGGAAUGUUGAACGAGGCGGGAGAGUGUGAUCCACCAAUGGCGCGUGAGUGAUGGAAACAUUGGGGGUGUAAAGCCCCUUUCACCGGCAGGGGUAAGAGCGGACGGGGAGAAUAAGCUGGGGGUAACUCGCUC